UCCUCCAGGUACUGCGCCAUUUUCUCCGAGUCUGAAAAGCCAGAGUUCUCAGUGAAACCGUGUCAUGCAACCAUGCACAGACCUUAACAAAGAAGACGGCAGUCCAGCUCCUGUGCUAUAGACAAGGGCUGUGUCCAGACCAGAGUUCUCAC